AUUGAACGCUGGCGGCAUGCUUUACACAUGCAAGUCGAACGGCAGCGCGGGCUUCGGCCUGGCGGCGAGUGGCGAACGGGUGAGUAAUGCAUCGGAACGUGCCCAGUAGUGGGGGAUAGCCCGGCGAAAGCCGGAUUAAUACCGCAUACGACCUGAGGGUGAAAGCGGGGGACCGAAAGGCCUCGCGCUAUUUGAGCGGCCGAUGUCGGAUUAGCUAGUUGGUGGGGUAAAGGCUUACCAAGGCGACGAUCCGUAGCUGGUCUGAGAGGACGACCAGCCACACUGGGACUGAGACACGGCCCAGACUCCUACGGGAGGCAGCAGUGGGGAAUUUUGGAAAAUGGGGGCAACCCUGAUCCAGCCAUGCCGCGUGCGGGAAGAAGGCCUUCGGGUUGUAAACCGCUUUUGUUCGGGAAGAAAUCCUCUGGGCUAAUACCCCGGGGGAUGACGGUACCGGAAGAAUAAGCACCGGCUAACUACGUG
rnacentral:rRNA from 1 species